AUGUUGUUACUUGAAAGAGGCAAAGGUCUCAAAGAUCUCAAAGUUCCUUCUUCAUUUUUUAAGUUGGCAGUUCCAAACUUCACACAAGUAUCUUCUCUUGUACAUAGAAGAAGUACAAUAUGGUCGACUGCAGGUGCCUCCCCAGGGACACAGCUACUACCGUCACUGUUGAAAGAAUCACAGUUGUACUGGAAGGUCCUUCCUGCUUGUUGUGUCUGCCUUCUCAUCUUAUUUAUGAUCGUUUAUGUGAAGAAGCAGCAACAACUUGAUUUGUUUUCUUGUGUAGUAAUAUGUGAGUUGCAUUUGCAGACAUAUAUGGUUCAAGUCACUCUAUGUUAG
rnacentral:rRNA from 1 species